AAAUAAAUAAAUAAAAAUUUUUAAAAACUUAAAAAAAUAUAUACCCAGUGCUAGAAAACAAGAAAUAAUGUCUUUGGUAGAUCCAAAACUGAGGAAUCCUUGAAGGACAAAAUAGUCAAGAUCUGAUGAAGGAAGCUAUAGCUCCAAAUGCUGCCAUAGGAUUCCUAAAAAAUUUGUUUCAGGUCUCAAAAUGGCAAAUAUGGAGCAGAAGGAAGGCUCAGGCAAGAAGGUGAUUCCCCAACACACUACAUUUGACUUCCUUUGGGUAGGCAGUGAGAAAUAGAGAUUGCUUGGACACUUGAGUCAGAAAGUCAGAGUAGGCUCCAAGUGAAAUCUUCUCCCCUAUACUCCCUACUUUACUCCCUACUGGCUCACUAUACUGACAGCAGCCACCUUCUCUCACUUAUGUUGGACAGGCUGAAGUAAAACCUGCCCCACAAUACAUCCUACUCUUUCCCUCUGUUGACCAGGUUAACAUAGGUUUUCUGAUACAAAGAUGAGCAUGGGUGUAGGAUUUAACAAAAAUGUGUGGAAAACCAAUAAUGUGAAAAAGAGAUACUGAUUGCAGGGAAAAAAAAAGUUCACACCCAAGGAAAUGUUAGUAGUGCAAGCAGAAUAAUUUUCUGGAGCUUUUGAAAUAAGUAUUGCUAUGGGUCUAUUAAAAAAAAAUCAACCAAAGACCUUGGAACCUAAAAAUAUUCACAACAAAAUUUAAAAACCAACAAAUGGACAGUACCAUGGACAUAGCCAAAGAGUAAGUUAGUGAACUGGAAGAUGAAAUGGAGGAACUCUCUUGUGUCACCUAAAAGGAUCAUGAGAUGAAAAUAUGGAAAGAAAAGUUGAGAUUUGGAGAACAUGAAUUGAGAUAUUUUGGUAUCUGCCUACAAAGAAUGUCAGAAAAAAAAUAGAAAAGAAACAAUAUCACAAAAUUUACCAGAAGGUAUAAAAUAAUCAGUAGAAGACAAAAGUCCCAAUAUUCAAAGAUGAUGAAUGAAAAAAGACCUGUAGCUGGAUACAUCACAAUAAUAAAGUUAAAGGAAAUCUACUAAAAAAGAGAGAGAAAAGGAAAGAAAAAGAAAAAGAAAAAAAAAAACUUCCAGAAGGGGGAAAAAAUGAGAGUGACAACAGACUUCUCAUGGGCAAUGCUAGAUGCAAAAAGGCAGUGGAAUUGUAUGCAUAUAACUGUGGGGUUGGGUGGGGAAGAUAUUGUACUGGAAUUGUAUACCCAGCAAAACUAUCAUUUAAGUGUAUCUAUGAAAAAGAGUCAUUUUGGACAUUACAAAUCAGUUUACCAUUCACUAGUUCCCUCUAUAAAGAUUACUAGAGGUCAUAAAAAUGAAAGAAGUGGGAAGGAAGUCAAGGACCUACUCUGUGCUAAAUGCACAUACUUCUGUCAUAGAGGAAGGCAGUUUCAAUUAGUUCACAUCUGGUUGAGGGAAAGUGAAUGUAUCUGUCCUCUCCAUAGGACAAUUAGUCAGAUAGAAGCAACUGCCCAGACAGAAAGUAUGAGCUGAGCUACCUGUGUUGGUUCACUGUAUUAAAGAGUGGAAUGGGCAGGACAUGCUGGCAGUCUCCUCUCAAUCCUGAUCCAAGCCCUUGGUUUUAUCUCUGGAGCCUAAAGAGGCAUGGCUGGAGGUUGCCAUUAUGUACAUUCUUUCUCUUCUCAAAUCCAUCCCAUUAGUAUUCAUAGGGGAUGAGGUUGGGGAAGCUAUCUCUCUCCCUGUACUGAUGGUCUGGAUUGCAGUAAACCGACCUGUGUGACUUUUCCUGAUUAGAAGCACUACAGUGGCAGUCUUAAAUUGCUCAGAACAUCAGGAAUAUGCCCAGCUGAGCAGAGGGAACAUGGCCCGGGCCUCUGGGAACUCUGCCCAGUGACCUGUCAAUUUGGGACACUGCCAGUUCUCCUGGAUUGAGGGGGAAGACCAGUAAGGAAGAGGCCCUGGCAGUCCUGGGAAGAAGAGAAAAAAAUUACUGUAGGAGGCUGUAUGUACCAGAAGUCCAGGUGAAUUCACAAAGUGCUACUUUGGGAAACCUCCUGGUGGGUAUGAAAGGGGCAUAUGGGGCUGCCCCACAGGUCAGCAGAAUCUGGGCCAAGACACAACAGAUUCUGGCUGGGAAGCGGUCUGGGUCUGGAUCUUCUCCACAGAGGAAGGUUUGGAAGAUUUUAAAAAAUUCAUAUGUUAUUAAAGUAAUUUCCCCCCCCCUCAAAUUUCUGUCCUCUGUAUAAUUGUGCUUGAAAAAACCAAGUGGGGCUCAUGUUCUCCUCAAGAGUUUGUGCUUCUCUGUCAGCUUCUCCUAUUCGAGGUUGGGCCUGGUCUUAACCCUCCCUCCACCUACAUGGGUCUUUGGUGAUUCUCCCCGACUCUCCAGAUUGGAGGGAAGCUGGGAACCAACCACACUCAACCACUUGACUUCAGAAGAGUUAUAGGAAAUUGGCUAAUAUUUUUUAGUCCUUUUAUUGUAAUCAUAGGUUGUAUAACUUAGUAGGGGACACUUGGAAGCCACAUGUCCUGUCCCCUGGCUCUAGGCAGGAUGGAAUUAAAGUUAUUUUCCUCAGAUAACACUCUUCUCUGCUUUAAAACAACAACAACAACAACAACAACAACAACAAAAACAACAAAAAACCCCCAAAAACCAAAAACCAAAAACAAAAAGCAAAAAACCUCCAAAGAAGCAGCUACUGCAGCAUCUCUUGGGAUGGCUUUCCUGUGUUUCACUUGUUGUCAGGCAAGAAAGGUUGAGACACUUUUCUGAAGACUCACUGGGGAAAUGGCCAGCCUGAGAGUUCGUCCCACCCCCCGCCCCCCGAAAGAACUUUGAGUGCACAUGAACUCAUGCCAUAUGUGCCUAGGAAUAAAAAGACCUCUUGAUUCUUGGACCUACUGUGGGGAGUUUUUAUGUGUUACAUGUUCAUGUCAGGUUAGACCCUCAGAUGUUUUUAUCCAUGCUUCAGGCACUAUAUGCCACUUAAAUGCAACAGUACAGGACUACAGCAAACUCUGACAGCAGGGGCAGAGGGUAAGAACUGUGAUGGGAAGGUGAUGGAGGAACAGGCAGCUGCUUAGGCUGCCUUGCAAAGAGAUACCCAGGAGUACCAGUUGACAGAUGCAUUUCACCAGCCUGGCCAUAGCAUGCACCUGGGUAACCCUAGCUGACAUGUUUCUCUGUAAACUUCCAGCUAGACAGAUCUUUUCUGCAAUUCUACCAUAGACACAGUAUUUCAUUUUAUUUUUUUGCAAAUUUAAAAAAAAUUUUAAUUUAAUUUUUUUUUAAGUGUUCCAAAAUUCAUUGUUUAUGCACCACACCCAGUGCUCCAUGCAAUACAUGCCCUCCUUAAUACCCGCCACCAGGCUCACCCCAUUCCCAACCCCCCCUCCCCAAAUCUCCAGUUUGUUUUUCAGAGUCCACAGUCUCUUAUGGUUUUUCUCCCCCUCCGAUUUCCCCAACUCACUUCUCCUGUCUUCCAAUGUCUUUCGUGUUAUUCCUUAUGCUCCACAAAUAAGUGAAACCAUAGGAUAAUUGACUCUCUCUGCUUGGCUUAUUUCACUAAGCAGACAAAGUAUUUUAAAACAUAUGAUUCCUACCAGGAGACCAUGAGCAUUUGAGCUCCUCAAGGUGACAUUUAAAGCCUGCCCCCCCUUUUUUUCCCCCUAAACAAAAAUUGCAUUUUUGUUUACCUAUCUAAGAAGAUAGGUAGGUUUGGGUAUUCUUAAGGCCAAUGUACCUGAGACUUUGGAGCACAAACUUUUCUAAUAUUUUUUCCUGGGGACAGCAUCUCUUCUCUGAACUCCAGCCACAGGGUUCACCAAAUAGGAUGAAAGAAUUGAAAGUGACCCAUGAAUUCAGCUGGUCCAAACUCCUCACAUUACAGAGGAAGAAAGAAAAACCAGAACUACAAAGGGCUGUGAAGGCAGAAAUGAGCCUUAGUCACCCCCUCCUUUUACUCAGAGGUCUCUGUCUUGACACAUCUCCACCCCAGGGUCCUCAGUAACUUGUGACAGAAGUGGAGCUAGAAUUUGAGUUUCCCUAUUCAAGUUCAGUGCUUUAUCUCCCCCCUCCCCCCAAGGAGCUAGUUCCAUGCUUUCUCUGUAGCCUGUAGGCCAGGCCAGAACUCACUGGCAGGAAGAAGAAUGAAAUAAGUGUAAUGAUUCUAUAGAGGGCAUGUUGACCUUCCACAAAUCAUGUUCCCACCAGUCUGUCACUGAUGCUUGACCUUCCACCAUUAGAGAUUCAUUCUUUUGUAACUUGGAGGUGAGGUAGACUUCCAGAGUCUCCUCUUGAAAUGUAAAUACCUCUGGGAAGGCCACGAACAGUUGAUAGCUAAGAAACUGCCAGGCCUGUUUCUCCAAGAGCAUUAAUAACCAACAGUGUGGGGGUAUGGAAGGGAAGCGGAGGCAGAGAGAUUUCAGAAUUCACUGAACUAGGAGGACAAAGUUGGGAUGGAUGUGAGAAUGGGUCCACCCUUUUGUAGGCACCAUGAAUGCUAUUUACCUAUCUAAUUAAAUAUGUAAGAACAUGGCCCAGACACGUUGGUGAAAAAUUCCCUUCUCAAGGCAUGAACUAAUGUUUGGAAUCUCAAAGGGAAAGACUGUGCUGCCCACACCCUUCUGCCAUCAGAGGGUGUCCAGGUUAGGGCUUUCUGUGUAAUGGGCAUUGAGAGAUCCCCACUUCUACUUCAAGGCUUCCUUUGCAUGAGCGGACCUGCAUGGAUAUUUUUGUUUAUGGCUGAAGAAAAGAGGAGUUUGUACUACUCUUCUGUGGGUAGAAGACUGAACAAGAGAGGGGAUGGUGUGUCAUCCGGCUACCCUGACACUGGCCUUUGUGCCCUUGUAGAACAAUGGAAGAGUUCAGACCAGAAGCAGAGGGGCUGUUUCUCCAAGAGGCUUGAGGAGACACAAAAUUCAAAGAGUGGGUUUGGGGGCUCAGCAAAUCUACUCCUGCAUUUCAUGACAUCCGGAAGUUGCUGGGUAUGCUGGAAGAUAACAGUCCUGGUGCAGCUGUCAGCAUCCUCAUGAGGGAUGUUGCUGACAUGGUUAACGGCAAGUCUCCUAAAAGUCCCCUCAAAGUCAGUGGAUAUGUGCUAAGGGAAGCCAGAAAUGCAGAAGAAAGAGGAGGAAGAGACUCAAUAUGGGAAAUUAAGGACUCCAAGAAGUGAAGCCAUGUGCCCAAAGUCACAGUUAAAAUGCAAGAAUGUGGACUGAAAACCAGGUCUGUGAGGCUCUGGGGUCUGGGCUCCUUCCACUGGUGGAGUCAGAAAGAUAUGGGCUCUGAGCAGUCUUCAACCCCUUACCAAGUAAAUUAACCAUAGAGUAGACUUGUCCUGGUAAGAUGAAGACCGUGGCUGCUUCUCCAGCAACUCAGCUCACUGCUUUCUGGACCAUCAUCUGUGAC